rnacentral:rRNA from 1 species
UAGUCCCUACGGGAGGCAGCAGUGGGGGAUAUUGCACAAUGGGGGGAACCCUGAUGCAGCGACGCCGCGUGGGUGAAGAAGCGCCUCGGCGCGUAAAGCCCUGUCAGCAGGGAGGAAAAUGACGGUACCUGAAGAAGAAGCCCCGGCUAACUACGUGCCAGCAGCCGCGGUAAUACGUAGGGGGCAAGCGUUAUCCGGAUUUAUUGGGUUUAAAGGGUGCGUAGGCGGACUGUUAAGUCAGCGGUAAAAGCCCGGGGCUCAACCCCGGCGAGCCGUUGAAACUGGCUGUCUUGAGAUGUCGAGAG